UGAAUUCGGAAAACGGGUAAGAACUGUGUAUAAUGUGUGAUAUGGAUAUUCGAAUGUAUGUAUGUGCUAAUGUAUAUACAUGCUUAUUUGUAGUGAUUCAUACACUACCAACACUUGUACGGUUGCGGUACAGAGUGCAUUGGUGAGGUGUAUGAUGUAUGGAAAUACAUCAUGGUGUUACCAGCACUUGUACGGGAAGGUACAAGGUGUCUGUGGUACAACACUUAACAAUAAUUAAGGUGCGGGCCAUACCCUACCUACACUAGUACGAUGGUAUACUGAGUGCAUGUGGUACAUGGUAAAGGAAAGGCGAAGGCUGAACAGGAGUGAACCUGAGCUCGGGUGGGAUUGUACAUGUCAAAGCAGCGCGACCUGGAGUGUUCGGUCUCGGGACAUCUGGGGAUUGUAAUUUGAUAGUCGUUGUGCGACCUGUAAUAAAUGUAUAUUUUGAAAAGUUAAUUUUUACAAAGUUUGAAAACGGGAUCCCGACACUUGUAAAUAUUUUAUUAUAUUACAAAGUUUAAUAUUUAAUGCAAAAAUUUUAAUUUGGUACGUUUUUCGAGAAAAUUCUUUGAUUAGCAAAGAUUGUACUAUAAUUGAAAAAGCACUGUAGCGUGCCUUAGCAUUAGGGCGUUACAUAUAAAGUUGGGUACGGGUAUAUGUGUUCCCUUCCCUAUCCUACCCUAUCCUAUAUAUUUAUAUUUAUAUUUACUUUUUUAAAAAAUAAUAGUUAUAAAUAUUGAUUUUAACUAAUAUUUUACUUUUUAAAAAUUAAAAUUUGUGUUUUAUUAUUUAUAUUAAAAUAUUAUUUUUUUACUCUUUUGAAAUGCAAUCACAUACAUUUUUUUGUUUUGAAUUUUCAAAGUAUUUUUUUUUUAUUGUUUGUAGCUAUGUAUAUUAGUUGCAAUUGUAUAUCAAUUAAUAUAUAUGAUUUGUAAAAAAUAAGGAGGGGUCACGACCACCGUAACCCCAUAUGUACAUUCGCCCCUGGUUGUAGUUUAGUAAAUCUUUUCUAUUAAAAAUAAAUUAUUUUGUAUUCUACUUCAAAAACAAGAUAAUUUUAAUUUUAAUAUUUUUGAUGACUAAUUUUGAUUGAAAGAACUCUUUAUUAUUGUGUCAA